CCCCCCCCCCACCUUCCCUUCAUGGUAACCUGGCCAUUUAUCCCUUUAAAGACGACAUCACAUACAAAGUAUUCUCUUUUAACAGUAAGAAAACCACAACACUAAACCUUAUCAAACCUAAUACAAAUUCUCAUCAAACUCAAUACAAAGCCUCAACAAACAAUAAAAAACCUCAUCAAACUCAAUACAAAAUCUCAUCAAACACAAUACAAAUUC